rnacentral:snoRNA from 1 species
GGAUUCUCACGAGGAGAAAAGAGUUCACAGAACUAGCAUUACCUUACCUUUUGGUUUGACAGAGGUAUGUUUGGCUAUUGUGUGGGACAUUC